AUGGACGCGGCGGCGCAGGCGGGGAGGAGGAGGCCGUCGGAGGUGAGGGCGGAGGGGCUGAUGCGGGGCGCGUGCGCCGCCCUGGCGACGGCGUCGGCGCUGCUCAUGGGGCUGGACACGCAGACGGAGACGGUGCUGCUCAUCAGGAAGAAGGCCACCGUCAAGGACGUCCACGCCCUCUGGGUGCUGACGGCGGCGGCCGGCGCGGCGGCGGGGUACCACCUGCUACACCUGCUCCGGUGCCUCUACCUCGGCCGCUUCGCCCACAACCCCUGCCGCAACAGCAGGGCCUUGGCAUGGGCUUUCUUCCUCCUCGACAAGGGGUGCGCGUACGUGACGUUCGCGGCGACGGUGGCGGCGGCGCAGGCGUGCCUGAUCGCGCUGGACGGCGCGCAGGCGCUGCAGUGGAACAAGGUCUGCAACAUCUUCACCCGCUUCUGCCAGCAGGUCGCCGGGAGCCUCGUCUGCGGCGGGCUCGCCGCCGCCGGCACCGCCGUCCUCUCCGCGCUCUCCGCCCGCAACCUCUUCCGCCUCUACCCGUCGCUCUCCCGCCCGCACCCGCAGCGUUCCUCCUCCACAAAGUAG
rnacentral:rRNA from 1 species